GCAGCGUAGUGGUUAUCACGUUCGCUUCACAUCAUGAAAGGUCUCCGGUUCGAUCCCGGACGGAACCA